rnacentral:rRNA from 1 species
CCUACGGGUGGCAGCAGUGAGGAAUAUUGGUCAAUGGGCGCGAGCCUGAACCAGCCAAGUAGCGUGAAGGAUGACUGCCCUACGGGUUGUAAACUUCUUUUAUAAAGGAAUAAAGUGAGGCACGAGUGCCUUUUUGUAUGUACUUUAUGAAUAAGGAUCGGCUAACUCCGUGCCAGCAGCCGCGGUAAUACGGAGGAUCCGAGCGUUAUCCGGAGUUAUUGGGUUUAAAGGGAGCGUAGAUGGGUUGGUAAGUCAGUUGUGAAAGUUUGGGGCUCAACCGGAAAAUUGCAAUUGAUACUGGCAGUCUUGAGUACAGUAGAGGGAGGCGGAAUUCGUGGUGUAGCGGUGAAAUGCUUAGAUAUCACGAAGAACUCCGAUGGCGAAGGCAGCUUACUAAACUGCCACUGACAUUGAUGCUCGAAAGUGUGGGUAGCAAACAGGAUUAGAUACCACAGUAGUC